AGGGGUGGUUAGAUCUUGUCUCUAUGAUCAGGAUCAUGAGAUUUCCUCUCUUCACAUUUACAGAAAUACACAGACAAGCCUGGAAAUCUCUCUGACCUCCAGGAACUGGAGCAGGCCACAGACUUAGGUGGACAUCCCCCACUCCCUCGUGCAUUUCCAGGGUAACGUGUGAUGAAGAGAGGCAGCACCUUCAGUGACCCAAGGAUUUUUAUCCCACCCUUCCUGAGGUGUGGGUGUGGGUGCUGGAGCAGAAGAAAAUUCAAAUGUGCAGAGGAAUGGUACACCUGGACCAGCACUGUAAAGCAGUGGAGCAGAGGACGAGUGUGAGGAGUGUGUGAGUGUGGGUCUGUUUAAACUGAUGGUACAUUCUGCAUCUUCCUGAAAUAUGUAUAAUAAUAUUUAUCAGUUUUAAAUAAUAACACUAAUUACUGUACAUUUAUUAAUAACCAUUCUUCGCUGGCCUGUCACAAUAACUACUUUUUUUGCAUGAAAUAUAUUGC
rnacentral:lncRNA from 1 species